UCUCCAAGAUGGACACAGGUUAAGAAUCCUCCCGGGGUUCUUCUUUUGUUUUCACAGAAGAUGAGAACCUAUGGAUUGCUUAUUGACCAAAAUGAUUUCAUGGGACAAGACCUCCUGAAAGAUUGCUGGAAACAUCCCCAAAUAUCACUUCACCCAACUGCUGACUGAGAUGAACCUAGUAUACAGAAUACCCCAUGAAAGACCUGAUUUAUAGCACCCCCAAACAGCAUGAAGAGGACUUUUCAUGACAAUGAGAUACAUCUACUCCUAGCAGC